rnacentral:rRNA from 1 species
GACGAACGCUGGCGGCGUGCUUAACACAUGCAAGUCGAACGGAAAGGCCCUGCUUUUGUGGGGUGCUCGAGUGGCGAACGGGUGAGUAACACGUGAGUAACCUGCCCUUGACUUUGGGAUAACUUCAGGAAACUGGGGCUAAUACCGGAUAGGAGCUCCUGCUGCAUGGUGGGGGUUGGAAAGUUUCGGCGGUUGGGGAUGGACUCGCGGCUUAUCAGCUUGUUGGUGGGGUAGUGGCUUACCAAGGGUUUGACGGUUAGCCGGCCUGAGAGGGUGACCGGCCACAUUGGGACUGAGAUACGGCCCAGACUCCUACGGGAGGCAGCAGCGGGGAAUAAUGCACAAUGGGCGGAAGCCUGAUGCAGCAACGCCGCGUGCGGGAUGACGGCCUUCGGGUUGUAAACCGCUUUCGCCUGUGACGAAGCGUGAGUGACGGUAAUGGGUAAAGAAGCACCGGCUAACUACGUG